rnacentral:rRNA from 1 species
UCCAGACUCCUACGGGAGGCAGCAGUGAGGAAUAUUGGUCAAUGGGCGGAAGCCUGAACCAGCCAAGUCGCGUGAGGGAAGAAGGCCCUGCGGGUCGCAGACCUCUUUGGACGGGGAGCAAGGCCGCCGACGUGUCGGCGGAAGGAGAGUACCCGUAGAACAAGCAUCGGCUAACUCCGUGCCAGCAGCCGCGGUAAUACGUAGGGAGCGAGCGUUGUCCGGAAUUACUGGGUGUAAAGGGAGCGUAGGCGGGACGGCAAGUCAGAUGUGAAAACUGAGGGCUCAACUUUCAGACUGCAUUUGAAACUGCUGUUCUUGAGUGAAGUAGAGGUAAGCGGAAUUCCUAGUGUAGCGGUGAAAUGCGUAGAUAUUAGGAGGAACAUCGGUGGCGAAGGCGGCUUACUGGGCUUUUACUGACGCUGAGGCUCGAAAGCGUGGGGAGCAAACAGGAUUAGAUACCCCUGUAA